rnacentral:lncRNA from 1 species
CAAAGAGCGGCCGUCUUUCUGGAGAGACCAAGGCACAGGGUCAGCUCCAUUGCACUUGAUCUGAAUCGUCCCUGUGUGGCCAUUUCUGGUGUUUGAAAUUUCAAGUUUUUCUGCUGACACAGGAUGGGUUAAAACAACCCAAAGCGCGCCUGCCUUUUCCUCCUCUGCGCUCCGUAUCUCCCCAGCCGCCCACCAGGCUGCACCUCUGACCAGGUCCUGAGCUGCAAAGCGAGUACUAUUACCCAGGUCACCUAAAAUACCUUGCUGUUUCGGGGUGAUUCCCCGCCUCACACUCCCAUCUGCUGCCCAUCACUCCAGGUCAUCGACCCCUGGCGGCCGGGACAGCUCGGCUCAGGCCUGCGCUCCGGGGCAUCUCACCUCAGCCAGGACUUCGGAGAAGAGCGGGCCUGGGCAAGCUUGCGGGGUGCCCUUUCAGGGUGCCUGCCCUGCGAGAAGUGUGGCCGGAAGCCCACCACCACCAGGGCGCAGAGGGGAGAGAGGAGCGCAGGGCCUGCCUGCGUUCCAGCGCGCACUCGGGAAGCUGAUCUCGCGCUUCCCAGUUUUCCCGGUCCGCGACUUCCUGCAGCUCGCAACACCCUCGACCCCACCCCGCCCUGGGAGGAGGUUUUCUCGGAGGUCGGGAACUCGGAACGAUAAUCAUGCACUCCUCUCACCGCGCUGGGUGAAGAACUGGCCACCUUCCCGCAGGCUGUGUGGCUACACGUGCGGGCAGACACGAUUCACAGGGCCACUGAGUCGCGAGCUAAGCUUCUGGAGGUCACCUGACUAUAGAGUUCACAGUCCUCAUUUACAAAAUCGGGGCCACGGGAGGCCUUUCGGUUCCUGGGUCCCUGGGUCCCUUCGCGUCUGAGCGCCCGGAUUUAGCACAGACGAUUCGCACGCAUCUACAUUUGAAUCCCAUCACCGAACACCGCUAAAUCCAGCGCAGACCUCCGCUGUCUUCCAGUCCCUCGGCUACUUUCUAGCUCACUGUUUUCUGCAGGGGUGAUUAACGAUCCCAGAUAGUGUAAGGAAUUCAACUUCUCAAGCUCAGCAUUUUCAAUUCUUUAAUUUGUCCCUAGGCGGCCGUUAGUGAUCGCGACUGUAGAUCACAUGGUACGGGCCAGGUAGAGAGAGCAGCUGAUUCAACAUUGUUGAGUUGGGGUUUGGUUUCGUUUUUAAAAAGCGACUCAGAAAGUAGCCCCUAGAGAACUUCAGGAAGGCAGCAGGCUGCAGCCUGCAGAGGUCCCUAAGCUAGACCCCUUUGGGUUGUCACCACUCGGAUUCCUUUAGACAGUGAAGGGCAAGCAAACAGCCAAGGCCCUCUGGGCCUUGGCCUCCGAUGUGGGUGAAGCAAGUGGAUGGGGAAACCCAGGUUCACAGGUUUCCUGCCCCCAUGCUGAGGCCUCACUAGGAGAACCAAGCUCUUCCAGGUCUAACCUGCUUCCUCUGUGCACCAACGAAUGCAUGGCCCUGGGGGGAACAGGGCCUCUGCUGGGGAGAUGAGAAGGUCCCUCCUCAAGGCUGCGUCAGAGGCUCCACGGGUUGGCGUCUUUGUAGCAGACACUCCUUCACUCCCCAUCUUUCCCCCAUCCUACUCUGUGCCCUGACCAUUCCUCUAUCCUAUUUUAAAAGGGAACUUGUCUCUCCUGGUAGUGGGAGGGGGGACAGGAUCUUUCCGAGUUGUCUCAGCAGCUACCACUGUUUCUCUUCAUACUCUUUUCCUCCUGAAGAGACAAACUUUGGAGAUGGCUCCCUUCGUGCACCUCAGGACUCCCAAAUGCCAGGGGGUGUAUGAGAGGAGAGGCGAGAGGAGGAAGAGGAGACUGAGGGGAGAGGGG